rnacentral:rRNA from 1 species
UACGUAGGGUGCAAGCGUUGUCCGGAAUUAUUGGGCGUAAAGAGCUCGUAGGCGGUUUGUCGCGUCCGCUGUGAAAACUCAGGGCUUAACCCUGAGCCUGCAGUGGGUACGGGCAGACUAGAGUGUGGUAGGGGAGAUCGGAAUUCCUAGUGUAGCGGUGGAAUGCGCAGAUAUCAGGAGGAACACCGGUGGCGAAAGCGGCGCGCUGGAUCUCUUCUGACGCUGAGGCGCGAAAGCCAGGGGAGCAAACGGG